rnacentral:tRNA from 1 species
ACGAGAGUGGCGGAAUUGGCAGACGCGCUAGAUUUAGGAUCUAGUCCCGAAAUGGGGUGGGGGUUCGAGUCCCCCCUCUCGUA